GUGAGAUGCCCUCUCCCGCCUACCAGAGUAGAGCAGUGACCUCUGCAGAGCUGUGCCCAGCGCUGGGAGCUGCGAGCCGCGCAGAGACGUAGCUGCUGGUGGCCUGAAAGCGGUAGGACGCUUUUGGAGGGCAUCCCUUUAAGUGAUUAGCAGCAAAAAUUUUAAAAUGAAAAGAGGCCCUGCGUCGGUCUUUGGAAGAAGCCUGCAGGAGCCCCAAGAACAGACCCAGUGGUGACAGGCAUGGGAGCCUUUGCAGGCAAGAGCACACGGAGCCUGUGCCAGCCCACCGACGUCCUGUGUCUGGCGUGUCCACAUUUCUCUGCUUUGAAAUUUUUCUUUAUAAAGUAAUCUGUAACCUCCUGC